rnacentral:rRNA from 1 species
GGGAACCUCACCCGGCCCGGACACCGCGAGGAUUGACAGACUGAGAGCUCUUUCUCGAUUCGGUGGGUGGUGGUGCAUGGCCGUUCUUAGUUGGUGGAGCGAUCUGUCUGGUUAAUUCCGUUAACGAACGAGACCUUAACCUGCUAAAUAGUGACGCGGUUCAUCGAACCGUGGGCCACUUCUUAGAGGGACUAUCGGAUUCAAACCGAUGGAAGUGUGAGGCAAUAA